CCGACCAAGAACCAAAAUUUCCCAUGAUGGAGCUCUCUGCGCCGCCUCCUCGCGGCCACCCUUUACUCGCUGGCCUCCGCCGUCCCCCGUCCAUCCCUGCCUCCCCUCUUCUCCUCCCCCACCUCUCCUCUUGCCCCAUCACUAACCGAUCACUAUUCGCUUCGCACUCCGCCAAAUCCCUUUCCUUGGUUUCUGAUGCAGGAUGGGGUCGUCCCCGUGAUCGACCGCCGCGGGCCAGGGCCUCGGACGAGGAUGCCUCCAUGGUUGUUGUACACGAUGAUGCUGGGUCGAAACGGGUCGAUGGGCCUUCCUUUCUCAUGAGGUCGUCGUACGGGGAGGGAGACAACCCCGAUGGCGGAGAGCAGAUUGCUGAGGCAGCGAAUAAUCUUUUGUCUAAGCUUAAUCUUAAGGUGCUUAUGAUCCUGCCCUUUUUCAUUUUUUGUUCCAUGUUCGGUAACAGGAAUUUGAUCCACCAUGGCUUUGGCGGAAGUUAGCUUUAGGUAUACGUUAAUUAUAGUUCUUGUUUAAUUCUGGUAUAAAGGAAGUACGGAAGCUGUUACUAAAGCAUG
rnacentral:lncRNA from 1 species